GCAGAUGUAGUUCAAUGGUAGAAUGCUUCCUUCCCAAGGAAGAGAUUGCGGGUUCGAGCCCCGUCAUCUGCU
rnacentral:tRNA from 1 species